rnacentral:rRNA from 1 species
CUGACUGACCGAUAGUGAACCAGUACCGUGAGGGAAAGGCGAAAAGAACCCCGGCGAGGGGAGUGAAAAAGAACCUGAAACCGUGUACGUACAAGCAGUGGGAGCACGCUUAGGCGUGUGACUGCGUACCUUUUGUAUAAUGGGUCAGCGACUUAUAUUCUGUAGCAAGGUUAACCGAAUAGGGGAGCCGAAGGGAAACCGAGUCUUAACUGGGCGUUAAGUUGCAGGGUAUAGACCCGAAACCCGGUGAUCUAGCCAUGGGCAGGUUGAAGGUUGGGUAACACUAACUGGAGGACCGAACCGACUAAUGUUGAAAAAUUAGCGGAUGACUUGUGGCUGGGGGUGAAAGGCCAAUCAAACCGGGAGAUAGCUGGUUCUCCCCGAAAGCUAUUUAGGUAGCGCCUCGUGAAUUCAUCUCCGGGGGUAGAGCACUGUUUCGGCAAGGGGGUCAUCCCGACUUACCAACCCGAUGCAAACUGCGAAUACCGGAGAAUGUUAUCACGGGAGACACACGGCGGGUGCUAACGUCCGUCGUGAAGAGGGAAACAACCCAGACCGCCAGCUAAGGUCCCAAAGUCAUGGUUAAGUGGGAAACG